rnacentral:rRNA from 1 species
AGGGUGCAGGGCGGAUGCCUUGGCACUAGGAGCCGAUGAAGGACGUGAUAAGCUGCGAUAAGCUUCGGGGAGUUGCACGUAAACUUUGAUCCGAAGAUUUCCGAAUGAGGAAACUCACUUAGAGUAAUGUCUAAGUAUCAUUAAGUGAAUACAUAGCUUAAUGAGGGGAACUCAGGGAACUGAAACAUCUAAGUACCUGAAGGAAGAGAAAGAAAUUCGAUUCCGUAAGUAGCGGCGAGCGAACGCGGAUUAGCCCAAACCAAUAAAGUUUUCUUUAUUGGGGUUGCGGACAUAUCAUAACGAAGAGGUAUCGUAAUUGAAGAGGUUUGGAAAGACCCACCACAGAAGGUAAUAGUCCUGUAUGUUAAACGAGAAGACUUUAGAUAUGAUCCAGAGUACCACGGGACACGUGAAACCCUGUGGGAAGCAGGAGGGACCACCCUCCAAGGCUAAAUACUACCUAGUGACCGAUAGCGUAUAGUACCGUGAGGGAAAGGUGAAAAGAACCCCGGGAGGGGAGUGAAAUAGAACCUGAAACCCUGCACUUACAAGCUGUGGAAGCACAUUUCUUGUGUGACCGCGUACUUUUUGUAGAACGGGCCAACGAGUUACGUUAAGUAGCAAGGUUAAGCACUUAAGGUGCGGAGCCGUAGCGAAAGCGAGUUUUAACUGAGCGUUCAGUUACUUGACGUAGACCCGAAACCGGGCGACCUACCCAUGAGCAGGAUGAAGCGAAAGUAAAAUUUCGUGGAGGUCCGAACCCACGAGCGUUGAAAAGCUCGGGGAUGACUUGUGGGUAGCGGUGAAAUUCCAAUCGAGCCCGGAGAUAGCUGGUUCUCCCCGAAAUAGCUUUAGGGCUAGCCUCAAGGUGAGAGAUACGGAGGUAGAGCACUGAAUGUCCUAGGGGGUAUUGCACCUACCGAAGACUAUCAAACUCCGAAUGCCGUCAUCUUAUACUUGGGAGUCAGACUGUGGGUGAUAAGAUUCAUAGUCGAAAGGGCAACAGCCCAGAUCGUCAGCUAAGGUCCCUAAAUGUAAGUUAAGUGGUAAAGGAUGUGGGAUUGCACAGACAACCAGGAUGUUGGCUUAGAAGCAGCCACUCAUUCAAAGAGUGCGUAAUAGCUCACUGGUCGAGUGAUCCUGCGCCGAAGAUUUCCGGGGCUAAAACUUACUACCGAAGCUACGGCAUCAGUAAUGAUGGGUAGGGGAGCUUCCCAUACGGGUUGAAGCAUGACCGUAAGGACAUGUGGACAGUAUGGGAGUGAGAAUGUUGGCAUAAGUAGCGAGAUGUGGGUGAGAAUCCCACAGGCCGUAAACCCAAGGUUUCCAGGGGAAGGUUCGUCCGCCCUGGGUUAGUCGGGACCUAAGCUGAGGCCGAAAGGCGUAGGUGAUGGACAACAGGUUGAUAUUCCUGUACUACCGAUAACCGUUUGAGAGAAGGGAUGACACAGUAGGAUAAGCUAAGCACACUGUUGGUUAUGUGUGCCCAAGCAUUGAGGCAGUCAAAGUAGGCAAAUCCGCUUUGAUAAUGCUGGGAUGUGAUGGGGAGCGAAAUUUAGUAGCGAAGUAGCUGAUUUCACACUGUCAAGAAAAGUCUCUAUCGAGGUUAAAGGUACCCGUACCGCAAACCGACACAGGUGGGUGAGGAGAGUAUCCUAAGGCCAGCGAGAGAACUGUUGUUAAGGAACUCGGCAAAAUGACCCCGUAACUUAGGGAUAAGGGGUGCCACCAUCAGGUGGCCGCAGAGAAUAGGCCCAAGCGACUGUUUACCAAAAACAUAGGUUUCUGCUAAGUCGCAAGACGAUGUAUAGGAGCUGACGCCUGCCCGGUGCUGGAAGGUUAAGGGGAUCUGUUAGAGCAAUCGAAGCAGUGAACUUAAGCCCCAGUAAACGGCGGCCGUAACUAUAACGGUCCUAAGGUAGCGAAAUUCCUUGUCGGGUAAGUUCCGACCCGCACGAAAGGCGUAACGAUUUGGGCACUGUCUCAACAACAGACUCGGUGAAAUUGUAAUUCCGGUGAAGAUGCCGGAUACCUGCGACAGGACGGAAAGACCCCAUGGAGCUUUACUGUAGCUUGACAUUGGGUCUUGGUACUACAUGUACAGGAUAGGUGGGAGGCUUUGAAACCAGGACGCCAGUUUUGGCGGAGCCAUCCUUGGGAUACCACCCUUGUAGUACUGGGACUCUAACCAUAGGCCAUGAAUCUGGUCUUGGGACACUGUCAGGUGGGCAGUUUGACUGGGGCGGUCGCCUCCCAAAAGGUAACGGAGGCGCUCAAAGGUUCUCUCAGUACGGUCGGAAAUCGUACGUAGAGUGUAAAGGCAAAAGAGAGCUUGAUUGCAAGACAUACAGGUCGAGCAAGGAUGAAAAUCGGACUUAGUGAUCCGGUGGUUCUGCGUGGAAGGGCCAUCGCUCAACGGAUAAAAGCUACCCUGGGGAUAACAGGCUUAUCUCCCCCAAGAGUCCACAUCGACGGGGAGGUUUGGCACCUCGAUGUCGGCUCAUCACAUCCUGGGGCUGUAGUAGGUCCCAAGGGUUGGGCUGUUCGCCCAUUAAAGUGGUACGCGAGCUGGGUUCAGAACGUCGUGAGACAGUUCGGUCCCUAUCCGUCGCAGGCGUAGGAAAUUUGAGAAGACCUGUCCUUAGUACGAGAGGACCGGGAUGGACGUACCUCUGGUGUACCAGUUGUCCUGCCAAGGGCAUGGCUGGGUAGCUAUGUACGGAAUGGAUAAGCGCUGAAAGCAUCUAAGCGCGAAGCCAACUUCAAGAUAAGAUUUCCCACCGCAAGGGUAAGACCCCAGAAAGACUAUCUGGUUGA